GACGGAGGGCGCUAGCGUUGUUCGGAAUCACUGGGCGUAAAGGGCGCGUAGGAGGCCAUUUAAGUCGGAGGUGAAAGCCCGGGGCUCAACCUCGGAACGGUCUUCGAGACUGGAUGGCUAGAGACCGGAAGAGAAGGGUGGAAUACCCAGUGUAUAGGUGAAAUUCGUAGAUAUUGGGUGGAACACCAGUGGCGAAAGAGGCUCUCUGUUCCUGUUCUGAAGCUGAGGCGACAAAGCGUGGGCAGCAAACAGG
rnacentral:rRNA from 1 species